rnacentral:lncRNA from 1 species
UAGACAGCAAUGAUCACUAGCGCCAUAAACCAUAUCUUCAUUGUCACAUGGAAGUAAUUCCAAAUUCUCAAAAACUGUGAAAUUCCUUACAAGUUCUCUGAGUUUCUGGAGAAGUUUUCCACAACCUCUGUAAUCUUGUGUUGAGAAUCCAGAGCUACAUUUAGAAAGAUUUUAAAUGCAGUAAUUCCUGAAGAGUUUGUUCUUGAUCCUCCUUUCCUUUCUCUCCACACCCUCUAAAUUGCCAAUCUCAUUCUUCAG